GCACAGCUGUGAGCUCUUUGGGCCCCGACACCAUGGCCUGGCCUCUCCUCUGCCUGUCUCUGCUCUCCUUCUGCUCAGGCUCCCUCUCCCAGCUGGUGCUGACUCAGCCUCCCUCUGUCUCUGCCUCUCCGGGGAGCACAGCCAGACUCACCUGCACCCUGAGUGCUCAGCACAGCACCUACACUAUUGAUUGGUACCAGCAGAGCCCAGGAAAGCCCCCUCGGUACCUCAUGAGGGUUAAAAGUGAUGGAAGUACAGGCAGGGUUGAUGGGCUCCCUGAGCGCUUCUCUGGCUCCAGCUCUGGGGCUGAUCGAUUCCUGUCCAUCAGCAACGUCCAGCCUGAGGAUGAAGACGAUUAUUACUGCGGGGCAGGCCAUACCAUUAGUGGUCGGUAUGAAUACCACAGUGAGACAGUCAAAGGGGAA